rnacentral:sRNA from 1 species
AACACCCACAAACAACGUCACGACGCAACGUGGUUAAACAGUACGUUUAUUAAAGUAACUGGGUGAACGACAACGGAGCGGACUGCAAAUCGCAACGCUACUUUCUCGAGUGCAGAUACUCUUCGAGACGGCUAAACAACGUGUCCAGCUCGCUGAGACCUUUCCGCGUGCCGUUAUCCGAUUUCCUUUCCGCCUCCUGAGACAGCCGACUAAUUACGGACUUAUCUCCGCAACCUAAUAGAGGCUGGGAGCCCGACAAAAGUAAAACAGCGUGCUAUGAACACGUUGUUACCUCUGCGCGGACAGCGCCGCCACAGAGACACUUACGCAUUGCCGCAUGUCUUUGUAGAUGGAUUCUAGCGUCGAGCGCAUACUAUGCAAUUCCGUCUUAAGUCCGGGAUAGACGUGGUCGCCUGCGGGGAACACGAUCUCCAGAUACCGCCUCAACAACCAGUCCAUGACGCUGCAUCCCCAACAGCCUUUGACCACCGUACCGUCGAGCCACACGGAGUAGUCGUCCUCACGUUGCUACAAGAGGAAAACUACGUCACCCGACACGCGGAAAAGAAAGGCCGUCGCAAUAAACCGUACCUACGUGACCUACCAACGUAGGUUUUACUCGAUGAAAGGUGACGCGGAGAUCUUGCAAUCUGGUCGCGUAAUCCUCCGGACGACACUGCGGCUUUGUAUUCUUUAUCGUCGUCGUCGUCGUCGCCGGCUUCGCCUCCUCGGAAGCGCCUAGAAAAAAGAUGAUCAGGACCAGAGAGGAAGAGACCAUCACCGACAGCAUCGCCGCAGCAUGCCGCCCCAGUCCGCCGCCCAACUACGCGUCCCAGAUACCACUCGUAGACUGUCAGCCUCGCGAGGAGACACCGCGGACCGGGGAAACGGAUAAGUUUACGAACAGAAAUCUCAAGAGAAAGACGCUGACCCGAUAAGUACCGUCACGGAGACACGGUGGUUUUUAUUGAAUUUCCAGUGUAUCGAGCCACCGUGAUGCAGGUACGGUGGUUUUAUGUAAAGUGCCGCUAUCUAUAGGCGAUGUGUUCCCUGACGGUGUGUGUUUUUUUGUGGAUAGACAACGUGGUUCUUGUACGUGGUUUUUACCCUGCUCAAUAAAGUCACGUUUUCCUUACACGGUGUUGUGUC